rnacentral:rRNA from 1 species
UACGUAGGGGGCAAGCGUUGUCCGGAUUUAUUGGGCGUAAAGAGCUCGUAGGCGGUUUGGUAAGUCAGGUGUGAAAUCUCCACGCUCAACGUGGAGGGGCCACCUGAUACUGCCAUGACUGGAGUCCGGUAGAGGAGUGUGGAAUUCCCGGUGUAGCGGUGAAAUGCGCAGAUAUCGGGAGGAACACCAGUGGCGAAGGCGGCCUUCUGGACCAAUACUGACGCUCAUGCACGAAAGCGUGGGGAGCAAACAGG